ensembl:lncRNA
CUGUUCUUGCCAUGAUGUCAAGCAGUCCUAGAUACCAUGUACAGGGGUACAAGCCUGCAAGCUCACCACCAGCAUUGAUGUGAUCUUGUGUGAGCUCCUGCCACAGAGGCUGCUACACCAGAGCUGAGGAAAGCUUCUAAAGAGCUUGCAUGUUUUCUUGACUCCAUAUUGUUGACUGACUGACAAGACAAAAUGCUAAAUUUUACCAUGUUGCAUCUGAUAAACUCACAGAGAAAGUGAAGGAUAGGAAUUUAAAUAAGGCUCACAAAGAGGCAGCCUUAGCUUUCUGGAACCCAAACACCUGCAAUUCUUUUAUGUCUUCCCCAUCCAGCAGCAUUCUCAGAAUGACAUGUUUUUAUUGAAAGGUCCGUUUGCAGUAGCUCAUAACUGCAUCAAGAACACCAAGAGCUGAAACACCAUCCAUGGCUGGGAGGGAAAUCUGCUUUGGAGGGACAAAUUUAUAAGUGGUGAUGGGGAUAAUUGUCUACUACCCCAUCCUGCCAGGAGCAUUGCCAAGAUGUGGAGCUCGGCUGUGGGAACUGUCAGGAGGAAAAGUAACCAUGUCAUCACUGACCUCUCCCUAGGAAAACCCAUGCAAAUGCAGACGAUGUCGAAGACUU